UUUGAAAUCUGGCCCUUUAUGGGGUCCGAGUUGUAAUCUGUAGAGGAUGCUUUUGGCGACGCGCCUUCCGAGUCCCCUGGAACGGGGCGCCAGAGAGGGUGAGAGCCCCGUAUGGUUGGACGCCGAACCUCUGUAAAGCUCCUUCGACGAGUCGAGUAGUUUGGGAAUGCUGCUCAAAAUGGGAGGUAAAUUUCUUCUAAAGCUAAAUACCGGCCAGAGACCGAUAGCGCACAAGUAGAGUGAUCGAAAGAUGAAAAGCACUUUGAAAAGAGGGUCAAAUAGCACGUGAAAUUGCUGAAAGGGAAGCGCUUGUGACCAGACUUGCGCCCGGUUGAUCAUCCAGCGUUCUCGCUGGUGCACUCUGCCGGGCUCAGGCCAGCAUCGGCUCUCCCAGGGGGAUAAAGGUCGCGGGAACGUAGCUCUCUCCGGGGAGUGUUAUAGCCCGUGGCGGAAUGCCCUUAGGGGGGGCCGAGGCCCGCGUUCGCAAGGAUGCUGGCGUAAUGGUCACCAGCGACCCGUCUUGAAACACGGACCAAGGAGUCAAGCAUUAGGGCGAGUCUUUGGGUGCAAAACCCGCAGGCGCAAUGAAAGUGAACGGAGGUGAGAGCUUCGGCGCAUCAUCGACCGAUCCUGAUGUUCUCGGAUGGAUUUGAGUAAAAGCCUUACCGCUUGGACCCGAAAGAUGGUGAACUAUGCCUGAAUAGGG
rnacentral:rRNA from 1 species